rnacentral:rRNA from 1 species
AACGAACGCUGGCGGCAUGCCUAACACAUGCAAGUCGAACGAGACCUUCGGGUCUAGUGGCUCACGGGUGCGUAACGCGUGGGAACCUGCCCUUAGGUUCGGAAUCACUCCCCGAAAGGGGUGCUAAUACCGGAUAAUGUCUUCGGACCAAAGAUUUAUCGCCUUUGGAUGGGCCCGCGUUGGAUUAGCUAGUUGGUAGGGUAAAAGCCUACCAAGGCGACGAUCCAUAGCUGGUCUGAGAGGAUGAUCAGCCACACUGGGACUGAGACACGGCCCAGACUCCUACGGGAGGCAGCAGUGGGGAAUAUUGGACAAUGGGCGAAAGCCUGAUCCAGCAAUGCCGCGUGAGUGAUGAAGGCCUUAGGGUUGUAAAGCUCUUUUACCCGGGAUGAUAAUGACAGUACCGGGAGAAUAAGCUCCGGCUAACUCCGUG